GAUUCAUUUGGAUAAACUUCUGCCAAAUGAGAUAAAGUGAUAUUACUCAAAAACCGUUCCAUUUUUAUUCUGAGGUU